rnacentral:rRNA from 1 species
UACGGAGGGUGCAAGCGUUAUCCGGAUUCACUGGGUUUAAAGGGAGCGUAGGUGGGCUGGUAAGUCAGUGGUGAAAUCUCCGAGCUUAACUCGGAAACUGCCAUUGAUACUAUAGGUCUUGAAUUAUCUGGAGGUAAGCGGAAUAUGUCAUGUAGCGGUGAAAUGCUUAGAUAUGACAUAGAACACCAAUUGCGAAGGCAGCUUACUACGGAUAUAUUGACACUGAGGCACGAAAGCGUGGGGAUCAAACAGG